AUGCACUCUGCUGCACCAAGGGCACAAGGAUGAUUCAUCGGGAUUUGGAAUUCCUAGAGAAUUGUCUUCGUGAAAAGCUGGGGAAAAAAUCCCUCUAAAUUCCAUCUCUUAGUUUUCCAUAUUGUUGCAUUUCAGAGGAACAUCAAGAAAUC
rnacentral:other from 1 species